CGCGUAGGUGGUUUCUUAAGUCAGAGGUGAAAGGCUACGGCUCAACCGUAGUAAGCCUUUGAAACUGGGAAACUUGAGUGCAGGAGAGGAGAGUGGAAUUCCUAGUGUAGCGGUGAAAUGCGUAGAUAUUAGGAGGAACACCAGUUGCGAAGGCGGCUCUCUGGACUGUAACUGACACUGAGGCACGAAAGCGUGGGGAGCAAACA
rnacentral:rRNA from 1 species